rnacentral:misc_RNA from 1 species
CCGAGUUUACAACUCCCAAACCCCCUGUGAACUUAUACCAUUACUGUUGCUUCGGCGGGUUAUUGCCCCGGGGAAAGGACCAGGUGCCGUCAAGGUUCCCUGCCCGCCCCCGGAAACAGGCGCCUGCCGGGGGACUCAAACUCUUCUGUAUUUUUUUGUUUACUGUAUACUGUCUGAGUAAAAAUUCAUAAUGAAUCA